rnacentral:rRNA from 1 species
UACGAAGGGGGCUAGCGUUGCUCGGAAUCACUGGGCGUAAGGCGCACGUAGGCGGAUUGCUAAGUCAGGGGUGAAAUCCUGGAGCUCAACUCCAGAACUGCCUUUGAUACUGGCAACCUUGAGUCCGGGAGAGGUGAGUGGAACUGCGAGUGUAGAGGUGAAAUUCGUAGAUAUUCGCAAGAACACCAGUGGCGAAGGCGGCCAACUGGUCCGGUACUGACGCUGAGGUGCGAAAGCGUGGGGAGCAAACAGG